rnacentral:rRNA from 1 species
AGACCCGAAACCCGGUGAUCUAGCCAUGGGCAGGUUGAAGGUUGGGUAACACUAACUGGAGGACCGAACCGACUAAUGUUGAAAAAUUAGCGGAUGACCUGUGGCUGGGGGUGAAAGGCCAAUCAAACCGGGAGAUAGCUGGUUCUCCCCGAAAGCUAUUUAGGUAGCGCCUCGUGAAUUCAUCUCCGGGGGUAGAGCACUGUUUCGGCUAGGGGGCCAUCCCGGCUUACCAACCCGAUGCAAACUGCGAAUACCGGAGAAUGUUAUCACGGGAGACACACGGCGGGUGCUAACGUCCGUCGUGAAGAGGGAAACAACCCAGACCGCCAGCUAAGGUCCCAAAGUCAUGGUUAAGUGGGAAACGAUGUGGGAAGGCCCAGACAGCCAGGAUGUUGGCUUAGAAGCAGCCAUCAUUUAAAGAAAGCGUAAUAGCUCACUGGUCGAGUCGGCCUGCGCGGAAGAUGUAACGGGGCUAAACCAUGCACCGAAGCUGCGGCAGCGACGCUGAUGCGUUGUUGGGUAGGGGAGCGUUCUGUAAGCCUGCGAAGGUGGCCUGUGAGGGUUGCUGGAGGUAUCAGAAGUGCGAAUGCUGACAUAAGUAACGAUAAAGCGGGUGAAAAGCCCGCUCGCCGGAAGACCAAGGGUUCCUGUCCAACGUUAAUCGGGGCAGGGUGAGUCGACCCCUAAGGCGAGGCCGAAAGGCGUAGUCGAUGGGAAACGGGUUAAUAUUCCCGUACUUGGUGUUACUGCGAAGGGGGGACGGAGAAGGCUAUGUUGGCCGGGCGACGGUUGUCCCGGUUUAAGCGUGUAGGUGUGUGUUCCAGGUAAAUCCGGUUCACUUUAACACUGAGGCGUGACGACGAGGCACUACGGUGCUGAAGCAACAAAUGCCCUGCUUCCAGGAAAAGCCUCUAAGCAUCAGGUAACACGAAAUCGUACCCCAAACCGACACAGGUGGUCAGGUAGAGAAUACCAAGGCGCUUGAGAGAACUCGGGUGAAGGAACUAGGCAAAA